rnacentral:lncRNA from 1 species
UUCCAGUAUCCUUCCCAUUUACUCCCUAUUUUUUUUUUUUUGGAUGUGGGAUUGAAACAAAGAUUUCCCCUCCUGUAGAUGUAGUUGGGCCAGAUCCCUUGUUUUUUCUAGAUUGAAGAGCCAACAGUUAUUUAAAUCGCCUUUACUCUUUCCCUCUUGAUAUUUUCUUUGAGACAUGCAUGUCUUUUUUGGUUUUGUUUGCAGGCACUCUGAAGGGUUCGAGGUGACUGCUGGAUCCGAGAACGGUGGCUGCAAGUGUGGAACCAACUGCACCUGCGAUCCCUGCAACUGCAAAUGAGACACAGAGGCCUCAAGAGAGAGAGAGAGAGGAAGGGAAUGAAUACUGCUGUUGUUUGUAGUUCUAUGUGGUGUGUGUAGUUUGUGUCUGGAGUUAGAAUAGUGUCUUAGUGCUAAAAAUAAGCGGCCAUGGCUCCGACUAACCCUCCUCUGGUGGAGUUGUUGCUGCCAUGGCCGAGAAAGAAGGGACCUCUCUCUUGUCUGCUUCUCUCGUUGUUCGUCCUGUGCCUGGGUGUGCUGCUAUCUAUGGUGUGUUUGCUUUACCAUGUGAAAAAGAAGACAGCUUUUUAGUAAAAGUAGACCCUAUCCCUGUUCUCUGCGGUGAACGUGGACCGUAUCACUUGUUUUCUUUCCAUUGCUUUUUCUUGCUCCGAACGCAAUCUCUGUCGAUGUGGCCCCGGUUGUCUGCCAUUUUGCUGACCUUGAAGAGGCCCCAUAUGGGGAAAAAUUAUUGGUUCAACCAGAUGCAUCAUAUCCAAUUUAAUGGCAGGAGAGAAAAAAACAUCGAUAAAAAAAAUACAUCAUGAUUAUGGGAUCCGUUUGCGGUUCUCUCUCUCAUCUGUCUGUCUUCGAUCACUAUUAGCGAGGAAGUGAUGACAGACGAUUCCAGAGAUCAUGCGGUGGAACUCGACCUCCCUGCUGUCAAAAACUGAAUGCCCUUCAACAAUGGGGACUUCUUCGAUACCGAGUGCUGACGAAAUCCAUCUCUCCAUCAAGAGCCCGAUCACCAUCGACAGUCCCCACCGAUUGUUGUCAUCCUCUUCCUCCAGAUCAACAUCAGCGAAUGUGAUUCAAAUUGUGAUGGCUUGGUUGGAGGAGAGUUUUUUUUUUUUUUUUGAUAAAAAAAAAGCGGCGGAGAACUACCACUCCAUUCUUAUUCGAAGAAAGGAUUAUAAGAAUGAACAAAUUACAAGAGAACUAAAGGACAGAAACAAAAAAAUACAGUAAAAAAAAUAGGAUAUCCAACUCUCGGUUACGGAUUUACCCACACCGCAACAUGGUUUAAAUAAAACAUCUAUUAUACAAAACUCAUAUAAUAAAAAGCUACUUCAAUAUCCAAUUUCAGCAUACAUCUUAAGCCAGUUGCGGGCCGGUCAAAUCAGAUUCAUGAGGUCACAAUCGGUAUCCAACCCAACGUGAUGAUAUUGUCUGUUUUGGAGGUNNNNNNNNNNNNNNNNNNNNCGGUUGAGAUAUACCUCGUGCGGUGUUGAUCAAAUCCAAAAGAUGUUUUCAUAUAGAAAAAAAUUUUCAAAUUUUAUAAAAUAAAAUUAUUUGACUGAACACAGCAGAUGUAAGAUUCAAGAAUCUGCUCUCGUCCGCAACUUGAAGAUAUUGUCCACUUUGGAGAUCUAUUGUCCACUUUGGAGAUCUAUUGGGACGUAACUCGUGCAGCAUAGGACACCCUUCACGGUUUUGCUCUCUUGAGCUGUGCCAACGCGAUUGAAUUCAAAAGACAUCACGGUUUUGCUCUCUUGAGCUGUGCCAAAGCGAUUGAAUUCAAAAGACAUCAUCAGGUGAGAAGAAGGAUUCCAAGUUUUAAUAAAAUAAAAUUGUCUGACUGAACAGUCGAUGUGGAACUAAAUAGUUCGCUCUCCUCCAUAGUAGAGCCCAUAAAGAAUAUUUUUAUAUCAUCUAGUUAUCAAUUGGUGGAAGAAUACAAGAUAAAAGAGUUUAAUUAGUGCAAACAAGAGCACAGAUACUCACCAAUUUUUUUUGGCAAAUGAGCUCCAAGUUAAAAAAUAUAUACAGAAUUUUUUAUAAAAUAGAAUAGGCAGUUUUNNNNNNNNNNNNNNNNNNNNCAUUGAGAUGUACCUCAUGCGGUGUUGAUCAAAUUCAAAAUACAUUUUCAUAUAUAAAAGAGAGUUUCAAAUUUUAUAAAAUAAAAUUAUCUAACUGAACAAUCGAUAUAAGAUUCAAGAAUCUGUUCUUUUUCAUAACAAUGGUCAAUCCGACAUAAAGAUAUUGUUCACUUUAGAGAUCUAUUAGGACGUAUUUCGUGCGGCAUAAGACACGGUUUUGCUCUCUUGAGCCGUGCCAAAAUGAUUGAAUCCAAAAGACAUCAUCAAGUGAGAAGGAGGAUUUCAAAUUUUAAUAAAAUAAAGUUGUCUGACUAAACAGUCGAUGUGGGACUAAACAGCCUGCUCUCCUUCGUAAUAGAGCCUAUAAAGGAUAUUUUUAUAUCAUCUAGUUAUCAAUUGGAGGAAGAACAUAAGAGAAAAGAGUUUAAUUAGUGCAAACAAGGGCAUGGAUACUCAUCAAUUUUUUUUGACAAAUGAGCUUGAAGUUAAAAAAUAUAUACAAAAUUCUUUAUAAAAUAAAAUAGAUUUUUUUUUUUUUUUAAGAAAUAUCCUAUUGUUUGGAUGAUACUCGUCCUUGGAGGAUGAGUCAACCUGAGCUCAAUAUCGAUGGAGGAGGACUCGGCCGAUAGUAAUAUCUCCGAUACAAACUGCAGCAGUAGCGUGGGCUCGAGCAAACACCAAUGGGACAGAGGAGAUGUUCUCAACAGGUGAUGGGAGAGGAGAAAUGGAGGAGAGGAGAAAAGAUGGUUCUCUGUUUUUUUAUUGCUUGAGAAAAAUAUAGUCGCGAUUGAUUUUUUUCUUCGAUUUCUUUUUUCCUUACAAAUGUCUCGAUCACUGGUUGAGCUACUCUAAAAAUAUAAAAAUGACGACGUCACUUCAACAGACAAAGUAACUUGUCCAAUUUGGGAGAGGAUAUGGUUUAUGACGACAAGGAUAGAUGAAUUAUCGACAACCGAGCGCCCUGCGUACUUCAUAGUUAAUUGCCAUAGAAAGUCUCCACACCAGUGCAACACGCCGACAGCUCUCAAGAUUUGUCUCUGGGGUAAAAUUACCCAUAGAUUACGGUUAAUGGUAUUCCUCCUCUUGGUAGCAACGGACCAUUCAUUGACCUCAAGAAGGUUUGGCUUGUGUAUAAUAAUCGACGUCUGUUUUGAAUUGCUCUCAAAUAUCUCUCUAGGGUAGUCUACGCAGGAAAGGAUCGGCAUAUGAGCUAAGACAUCCAUCACAACUCACCAUCAUUAGAUAAUUUAUUGACAAAAUAUCUCUGGGAACUUCUUGCUUGGUAUCGACAAUGUUAUAAUGGCCAUUAGGGUUUGUCAUCACUAAUAUCAUGGGAACAGAAGCCAUUAGUCAAUCAUUUUUAUUGCAUCAAUAUGUUUAAUAAAUAUAUACAUGCAUCAAUCUAUCUGAUAAAAACAAGGUUAGAAUCCACAAACAGUGAUUUCAUCAAAUAACAGCAGCAUCUUACUUUUAUCACCUGCUGGUGCAUCUUACUUUUAUCACCGGCUGGUGCGCACCAGAAUGGAUUAGUUUAUAACAGUCAACAUGUCACGCUCCAAACAAAUCUACUAAAAGGAUUGAUGGGGGACUGUUCCAGUGGGAUAUAGUUCCUGUAACUUUGGAUCAAUAAUUACUGACCAUGGUUGAAACCUUAGGCGAGUGAGAGAGUUUAAAGUGGAACCACUUGCCUGUCAUUGUUUCAUGGUGAGAGACAGCUAGCCUGAAUAUAUGAUUUGAACAUCUCUCUAUCCAUUAGCUAGACUGGAUGGAAAAGAUCUUGUCACGUGAAGAUUCCUUCUGCUGGUAAAAGGAGAACCAAAUUAAUGGCAUCUCCCUAUUUCUUGAUACCUGAAGCCUCACAUGUAAGGUUCGUACAGCUCGGUGCAUUCCUGUUUUGCUGUGUGCCAGGGAGUCCCGUCUUCUGUGACGAUCAUAAUUCAUAACUAGUUCCUUUCAGCAGCCAAUCUACCUGCAAUUUGAUUGGAGACGUCUAGUGCCAAGGUUCUUUUGGUCUCCACCGAAACGAUGAAAUCAGCAUAUUAAAAUUUCCAUUUUCCCUUCCUUUGUUAUCAAAAAUCUCAUAGUAUGUUGGGCAGUGAUAGCUCCUCCCGAUUUAAAGAACCAUAAUAUAGCUUAGAGGGUAGAGGUGGUGCUAAAGGGGGUGCUAAUUGUACGUAUUGGAAAGAUUUGUCCUAUGGGACUCCUACCAGUUCAUUUCUUUUGACUGCUGAUUGCUGAGUUGCAGGAACUUUGACAUAGAAGGACAUCAAUUACAAUAACUUGAGUGUAGUUUAACUUUGAUAAACACCAUUAAGCUCCCUCAACUACAACCCAAUUACUUAUUGAUUGAAACGAAAUCGAGAAUCAUGUGGAUUUGCACAUACGAAAAGAAAAGAAUAAUAACCUUGGUAAUAAGACCUCAAAAUGAUCUAGUAACAAGCAUCUAACAACAUCUGAAGAUAAUAAUUGUGUUAAAUAUGCAUGGACAUAUUGGUGCUUGCCAUUUCAUGAUGUUUUGCAUGUCUCCAUGAAAGAAUUCCUAUUGUGAGGAAAAAAGAAAAAAAAAAUCAGAACCAAUUAAAUUAAGGAACGGAAUCUUCUACGAUACUCAAAAAGUACCAUACGGUGCUGUACAUAUAUUGGGAUGUUAAUAAAAAAAAUGAUUAUGUAAUAUUUAUCUAAACUAUAUAAAUAUUUCUGGAAUUUAUUUAUUUAUUUUUUCUAAAUAUUUUAACACGUGUGGCCAUUUAUCUCUGAAUGGAUGUUUUCGAAGCAUGCAAAAUAUCCUAUGAUAUUUUUUAAGUACAGCAGAAGAUUUAUUUUUUUUAAUUAAUAACCCCGUCUGUCAAGAACGUUCGUCUCUUUUCACAUGGGAAAAGAAAGUGAGAGACAGUGAUGUUAGUUCUCACAGCAUUACCCUAUUCUGAAGCAUCUAAUAAAGCAGCUGCUGAGACAUUAUGAGACUUGAUCGCUUGCCCUCCUAAAAAGCAAGCAGUGCCAUACCUAUAUGGGGCCGGCUAGCUUCAUGAAUUAAUCAAUGAACUCAAAUAUUAGGUUGAAUUUUAAAGCUGCUUAUGCUUUGGAAUGAUAUGUGACUAGUUAAUGGACAAAAAACCAUAUAUAUAUAUAUGUAUACUCCCACCUUUGACUUAAUCCAAUAGAUGAUAGCAAUUGUAUACUCACUAAACUGAUUGUUGAUUGUGGAGGCAAAAGACUUGAUGCAAUUACGUGCAGCAGUGUGCUGGCAACAUUAUGCAAAUCUGUCACAGCCUUCAUGUGAGAUAGUUGAUGAACUCAGCAGCAGUAGCAACGGCACCUGCUGGGAUGGCAUUGCCUAUAACCUUGUCUGUGCGAUGACCACCAGCAGCUGAUAUAAGUGCCCCAGUUAUUGUACCGCCGAGCAUUGCAUUCUUCUGCAGCAGUGAAAACAAGUCAAUGACAAGCCAAUGGUCUCGCUAUACACAUCAGAUAACUUGAUGUCCAUAUAACAAUUCAUUACAUAUGUAUCUGAGAAGCAAAAGGUGGAACUUAUUGCAUACAAGUUUCAAAAAGGUGCAGAAGUUCGUUGGAAAGAAACUCAUCAUACCUGGCGUUGUUUGUUCAAACCACUGGUUGCAAUUUGGGCAAAAAUGCAAACAGGGCAAACAGAGAAAGUUAAAAUUGAAAAAAAAAUUAUCUUCUUAUUUUCUUGAUUGAAAACUGAUAAAGAGAUUUUUAUAUACAGAUGAAAAAAAUGAUCUAAAAUUCAAAAGAAUGAUUUAAAAUACUAGUUGAGCUGUACAAACUGAGAAAAGACUCCUAACAAAAUGCCAUAACAAACUUUGGUGUCCUUUUUUUGCUAGCUAAAUUAAGUUGUAUAAUACGUCUUUAUCCCCCUUCAAGUUGGAGGCUGGUAAAGAUCAACUAGACCGAGCUUGAACAAAAUGAAUAUAAAGGUAGCAGUAGACAAAGACUUAGUGAAUACAUCUGCCAAUUGAAGACGAGAUGGAGUGUGAAUAGUUUGAAGAAACCCGUUGUUUAUAUGAUCUCGGACAAUAUGACAAUCUAUAUCAAUAUAUUUCGUACGUUCAUGGAAUGUUGGGUAGUUACUGAUGUGAAUGGCGGAUUGAUUAUCGUAAUGCAAUGGAAUGGGAAUGUGAAGGGGAAUCUGAAAAUCUUGAAGAAAAAAUGAAAUCCACUUGAGCUCACAAGUUGUGCUGGCCAUGCUUCUGUAUUCAGCCUCCGCUGAAGAAUGACUCACGGUCAUUUGUUUAUUUGAUUUCCAUGAGAUAAGAGUAGAGCCCCAAAAAAUGCAAAAUCUCAUGAUUGCUCUGCAGCUUGUUGGAUAUGCUGUCCAGUCAGCGUCACAGUAAGCUUGAAGCUUGAAGGAUGAUGCUGCUGGAAAAAACACUUCCUUAGAAGGACAUCCUCGUAAGUAUUUGAGAACUGGAACAACAGCUUGCCAGUGAGAAAUCCUUGGUGAUUGAAGGAAUUAACUGAGUUGUUGAAUAGAGUACAUAAUGUUUAGUCUAGUCAGACUUAAGUAUAACAAUUUUUAAUAACUUUUCGGUACUUUUCUGGGUCUGGCAUUAAAUCUCCCAUAUCUGGUGAUAAACGAAGAACUUUUGCCAUCGGAAAAGAGGCCGAUUUAGCAUUAAAAAGUCCAACGUCUUGUAGCAUGUCAAGUAUGUACUUGCAUUGGCUAACAAACAAACUUUCUGAUGAUCGAGCAAGCUCAAUACUCAGAAAGUAUUUAACAUAUCCCAUGUCUUUAAUGGUAAACUCAGUAUCAAGAAGCUUCUUAAUGGAAAGAAUGGAAUGCUCAUUUGUAUUAGUGAUAAUGACGUCGUCAACAUAAACAAGAAGAGCUUGAAAAUCAUCUUUAGAGGAUUUGAUGAAUAGAUAAUGAUCAGAAGAUGACUGAGUGAGACCGAACUCCUUGAGUUUACUUGUAAACUGUUUGUUCCAUUGACGCCUUACUUGUUUCAACCUAUAAAGGGAUUUAAUAAGCUUACACACUUGGCCAUUGCAUAUCUUUGUAUAAUCUUCCGAUGGUAUCAUGUAAAGAUCUUCGUCAAUAAAAUCAUGAAGGUAUGCAUUGUUGAUAUCAACCUGGUGAAUGGGCCAUUAUUUGGCUGAAGCAAUGGCGAGAAAGAUGCGCAUCAUAACUAUUUUAGCAAUCGAUGAAAAAUUAUCCACAUAAUCAAUUCCUUCAAUUUAGUUAUAACUCUUGACUAUCAGUCAGGCUUUGAAUCUAUCUACUGUACCAUCCGACUUAUACUUUAUACGAUAUACCUACUUCAAAGCUAUGGAUUUUUUUUUCUACUGAAAGUUCAGUCAACUGCCAUAUAUUAUUGCACUCAAGAGCAUCCAAUUCUUGAUUCAUGGCUUGAACCCACUGGAUAUCAUUCUUAGCUUGAUGAUAAGAAGAUGGUUCCUUAAGACUUGAUACAUUAGCAAUAAAAGCAAGAUAAUCAUGAUUAAAAGUAGGAGUAGAAAUGAAAUGGUUAUAGGGAAAAGAUGUGCCUGCAGAACUAUCUUGAUUAGGAGGUAAAGCUAUUGGUAAAGAAUUAUCAUGUAUAAUUUAUAUUACAAAAUCUUAUAGCCAAGCUGGUUUCAAGAUAGUCCUAGUACUUCUACGAAGAGGUGCAAUAGGAGGUACAAUAGGUGUGCAGGAUAUGAUUCUUGAUGAGGUGAUGGGGGUGGACACUCAACUAGAACAUUGAAAAUAGGAGUGGAAAAAUUAUUUUGUAUAAUGAUAGGCAUGAUGGGUAUAAGAAUUAUGGAGGAAGGAUAUUGACUAGAUGACGAAAUGGAAGUCUCACAUUUAUAAGGAAAAAUGGAUUCUGGAAUGAACUUGAACAGAGAUUUAGUGAAAGCAAUGGCUCAUUCCUUUAUCAAAUUAGACGAGAAAUUAGCUCAUUCUCUCAAAAAAAUAUGUCGGUGAUGAUAUAUUUUACAAAGUUGAAAAAGCAAACAGGACAAACAGAGAAAGCUAAAAUUGAAGAAAAAAUUAUCUUCUCAUUUUCUUGAUUAAAAACUGAUAAAAAGAUUCUUAUAUACAGAUGAAAAAAUGAUCUAAAAUUCAAAAGAAUGAUCUAGAAUACUAGUUGAGCUGUACAAACUAAGAAAAGACUCUUAACAUAAUACCAGCUGGAUAACAAACCAGCUAAUCAACAAACUUUGGCGCCCUUUUCUUGCUAGCUAAAUUAAGUUGUAUAACAUGUCUUCAAAAAAUACGAAAGAUGAUUGAGGUCAAGUUUCUUCCAUCAGAUUAUGAUCAAUUUCUAUACCAAUAAUAUAAUAGUUAUCAUCAAAGAAGUCAUUCUGUGGAUGAGUAUGCGGCCUGCAAUCAACUACAUAAGGCCGAGUUUCAAUAAGGUUGUUUUAUUACUGGACUCCAACAACUCAUCCAAAAUUGGAUACAACUGCAGUCUAUUGUUAGGAUGCAUGAUGCUAUCCAUGUUGCUAGGUGUAUCGAGAAGCAAUUAUCCUGCACUACUAUUUAAGCCUCCACAGUGGAGCGGAUACCCCCUGGAGUUGCUCAUUCUGACCAAAUCCAAGGAGAGAUAAGGGAACAAGUAAGGCUAAGCCACUUGCUCAAAAUUCCUAUGCAUGAUCUAUGCUAAUUGUCUAUUAUAGAUGUAGACAACCAAGACACGAUCAAAUUAGUAUCCAUAACUAAGGAUGAAUUGUCAAGCCAAUAUUGCCAUCACCGCAGAGGACAAAGAUCAAGUUGAGCAAUACUAUGAAGAUGAAGUAUAUAAUAAAGAUGUGAAUGAGGAGGUCAACUAUGGAGAUAUCGGUAAAAACCUUGUUAUCCAAAGGAUUCUCUUGAAUGAAAAGCAAGAGGACUAUGUUUACUUGCCAAGAGAAAGUAUGCAAUAUUAUUAUUAAUAGCGGUAGUAUAGAAAAUAUGCUUUCAUAAUAUAUGGUUGAUAAGUUUCAGCUGAAAAUCAUGAAGCAUCCAUCUUCUUAUUCCCUUGGAUGGAUCAAAGGAAAAGAGCAAAAAAAAAUGGUGCAACAAUGCUUAGUUCUUAUUUCUAUAGGACGGUCUGAUAACGAUGUAAUUUUUCAUGAUGUCAUUGAUAUGGAUGUAUGCCAUCAAUUACUUGGCAACGUGAUGUAGAUUCAACUAAUAAGAACAAAGAUAACCUAUUCAUUUUCUAUAAAGAUUGCAACAAGAAGAACACUCUGGCUCUAAUAAAGAAGGACCAACCCAAAGCUUCUAAAGUAAAGGGAAAGUCUUUUUUAAUUGUCAAAGAUCUUCAACCCAAGCUAGAGGAUAGAAAAGACAUGUAUGCCCUAGUAUUUCCAACAGUGAUUUCCUGACUCCAUGAGAAUCUCCAAUACCUUUAAUGUGUAGGAUCUCUUCAAGUCUUAUGAACCUUCCCAAGCUUUGAUGAUAAGUGCUAACUUGAGGAUAAGUUGCAUCCCAAUGGAGGAGAUCUAAUACAGAAUCUUUUAUAUAUAAAAAAGAUCCAUCUGAUCUUUUAUAUAUGGGAAGAUACACAUCUGAUUUUUUCUAUAUGGAAGAUAUCCACUUGAUAUAAGAUCUUAUUAUAUAUGACAGAUGUUAAUUAGGGAUUGAUCAAAUUAUUUAGUCAAUAUUUAAUUUUUAUACUUAGAUUUCUUUUCUGCAAAAAAAAAUUAGCUAAGAACUUUUUUAUUUAUCAUUUUUUCUUCAAGUACAAGUCAUUGUACCUAUAAAUUGUAACUCCCUGAAGGCCUUUGGCAUUAAUAAAUUAAAUUAUUUUUUAUAUUUUUAAUUAUCUUGAAGGUUUUUUUAUAGCUUCAGCGUUUAUUUUCUUUUUGAGUUAUUUGAAAGCUCCGAAUGGUACUUCGGGUUUAUCUUUUUUGCGCUUUGAGCUGCAUCAAAGGAAUUGACCAACAUGACCACCAUACAUUGAGACAUAACCUCAAACCUAACUGAGGAUGGGGUCAACAUAUAUGACCAUGGUAAGGCAUCAAGCCAUGCAUGGCCUCAAACUGAGCCAAAGAAGGGACCGACAUCAGGCCACGGGCUUAAAUCUAGCCAGGAAAGGGACUAUGAAAGGACAAGUAGUCUACAAACCUCACCAAAUUGAACCCAUAGCUAAGAACUCUAGUGAAGACCAAUAAAAGGUGGAGCAAGGAGUAGCCAUGUCAUUCUCAAAGCCAUAGCUUCUAUUCAAGCCAUAAGUCCACUAAGGUGUAGUAGGUAUAUAUUUUGAUUGAGGAGAAGAAAAAAUUUUAGGAUUUGAAACGUAUCAAAAUUUCAUUAUUUGGGCUUCAAAAUAAUCCAAUCAAAUUAAAAAUUUUCUUUUUAGAAAAAGCUUAGAUUAGAUGUAUGUUUCAAUAUAGGAAGAACUAGAUGGAGCAAUAGAAGGUAAUGUGGAUAUAGAAAUUGAGGUCUAUCUCUAGCAAGUUCUUAGUUUCUUUAGGAUGUUUAUUCCUACGAGUUAUAUUUAUUUUUGAAAAGCUAAUCCUAUUUGAAUUAAGAGAGAAAUCAUUAGGAAAGAUGGAUUUGAUCAUUAUUAUAAAUAAAGUUUAUAUAUCUCAAUUUUGUCAAUAGAUCAUCAAUAAUAGAAAAAGAAUCUAAAUUCUAUUUUCGUUAAUUUUUUUUCUACUUUUUUUAUUUUUUUGAAAAACUUUAAAUUGAACAAUUUGAGAAAACUCUUCUUUUUUUCUCAAUUGGAUUAGUAGAUGUAGCAAAAAAAAAAAAGUACAUGCAAUUGCUCACAUGAUUUAGACCUAUGAGAUGUAGAAGAGGGAGGCUACAAUGUGGAUUGGCCCACAUCAAACCUUAUCCCAUGAUCCUCGAGGACCACAUGAUGGUGGUGAUGGUGAUCCGCUUGCAGGAGGCAGACGGCGACGUUGCUUCCCCACCCCACCCACCAUGGGAGUGGGGAAAGGAGGGGCAGAAAUGUAAUUUGGGAUGGAUAAUGUUGGCUCCCAUCUCAGGUUAUUAAAAGUUAUUUCACCCAUCCCCGAAACAAAUUUUUCAUCCACUCUAGCCAGGAAUAAUGGCACUUGAUUGGAAUUCUACCAUUUACGGAGAAGCCAUCCUAGAUAAACUAAAACUUGAAUACUACUAUUUAUCCCGGCUUAUCCUAGAUAAGAGGUCAGACCUUGGAAGUAAAAGAAGUCCAAAUAUGCGAGACUUGGGAAACAUUUGAGAGAGCUAAAUACACGCACCUGGCAUAACGACGGGGGUAUUCGGACUUAUGAUGAUACGUGGGAUAUCAUGGGAGAGGUAGUUGGGCUGAAUCAGAGAAAUUAUUGGUUAGAAUAAGCCUAUCAUAGAUAUCUUAUAAAUCAUCUAAUAAUAAAUCAUUAUAUCAUUCAAAAAAAUUAAAAAUAAAUUAUUAUCCAUAUUUAUUUAAAAUUUUUAAAUAAAAAAAUUAUUUUUAUUAUUUUAAACAGGAGAAAGCUCAUAUUUUUUUUUUGGAUGGUAUGCUAGUUUGUUAAAAAGGUAUACGUGGUGAUGGUUAGCUUGUUCUAACUUCUAACUAAUAGUUUUCCGCUGAACCGACACGGAAGAUAUAUCCGUGGUACUUGAUGAUGACACGUGUGCGGUGCAUAAUUUCACACUCUCUCUCCUCCUCCCGCCCCUAUAAAUGAUAGGCCUAUUCAUGGGUCUUGGAGACAGAGAGGAAGAGAGACAGCUGGCUUAAGAGGAUAACCCUGAGGAAUUUUCUCUUGAUCUCUGUUCCACUCUCCGAGCGAAGAAAAUGUCUUGCUGCGGAGGGAACUGUGGGUGCGGCGCUGACUGCAAGUGUGGCAGCGCAUGCGUAGGGUAAGUUGGCAAAACACAAAAAUUCAGAAUUUUUAAUUGAAGCUUCUAUGUCUUCUUUCUUUCUAAGUUUCUCCCAUUUGUGUUUUUUGUUUUUUUUUUUAUUUUAAUUCGAUUUCUGGUCGUUCCUGGUUCUGAUCAGCUGAUCACUGAUCUGUAGUUGUUUACAUGCCUUAUUUCCUUCUUGUUUCUGUACCAUAGGAGAUCAUGCAUGCGCUGCUGUUCCGCUUUGGUAGGUUUCUGUUGUUCUCGUGCAGGAUAUCUUGCUAUCCUUGGCUCUCAUCACAUGAGAGUUUUCCCAGAGUUUCCAAAAGUUCUCGCUCUCUUCUUGAAGAUAUUGUUAUGUAACCACGCUUUAUUUUUUUCCCCUCCAAGAAAUGCUCAUGUUAUAUCUUCUCUUUUUUGAUGGAUGACCGAGUGCAGAAUAUGCAAGACGGACCCUGACAUCGCUGAGCAAAGGAGCACCACCACUCAAACCAUGAUCAUGGGGGUUGCACCCCAGAAGGGGUAUGUCUCUUCCAGUAUCCUUCCCAUUUACUUCCUAUUUUUUUCGGGGAUGUGGGAUUGAAACAAAGAUUUCCCAUCUUGUAGAUGUAGUUGGACCAUAUCCCUUGUUUUUUCUAGAUUGGAGAGCCAACGGUUAUUUGAAUCACCUUUACUGGUUCCCUCUUGAUAUUACAUGCAUGUCUUUUUUGGCUUUGUUUGCAGGCACUCUGAAGGGUUCGAGGUGACUGCUGGAUCCGAGAAGGGUGCCUGCAAGUGUGGAGCCAACUGCACCUGCGAUCCCUGCAACUGCGAACGAGACACAGAAGCCUCACAAGAGAAAGCGAGAGAGAUAGGAAGGGAAUGAAUACUGCUGUUGUUUCUAGUUCUAUGUGGUGAGUGCAGUUUGUGUCUGGAGUUAGAAU